rnacentral:rRNA from 1 species
UACGAGGGGGCGAGCGUUGUUCGGAAUUAUUGGCGUAAAGGGCGCGUAGGCGGUGCGGUAAGUCCUGUGUGAAAUCUUCGGGCUCAACUCGAAGUCUGCACGGGAAACUGCGGGGCUUGAGUGUGGGAGAGGUGGAGUGGAAUUCCUGGUGUAGCGGUGAAAUGCGCAGAUAUCAGGAGGAACACCGAUGGCGAAGGCAGCUCGCUGGGACGGUACUGACGCUGAGGCGCGAAAGCGUGGGGAGCAAACAGGAUAGAAACC